UACGUAGGUGGCAAGCGUUGUCCGGAUUUACUGGGCGUAAAGGAUGCGUAGGCGGACAUUUAAGUCAGGUGUGAAAUACCCGAGCUUAACUUGGGUGCUGCAUUUGAAACUGGGUGUCUAGAGUGCAGGAGAGGUAAGUGGAAUUCCAGGUGUAGCGGUGAAAUGCGUAGAUAUCUGGAGGAACACCGGUGGCGAAGGCGGCAUCCUGGACCAACAUUGACGCUGAGGAGCGAAAGCUAGGGGAGCAAACGGG
rnacentral:rRNA from 1 species